GCGAGGAAUUUUCCGCAAUGGGCGAAAGCCUGACGGAGCAAUGCCGCGUGAAGGAUGAAGGCCUAUGGGUUGUAAACUUCUUUUCUUAGAGAAGAAUAUUGACGGUAUCUGAGGAAUAAGCAUCGGCUAACUCUGUGCCAGCAGCCGCGGUAAGACAGAGGAUGCAAGCGUUAUCCGGAAUGAUUGGGCGUAAAGCGUCUGUAGGUGGCUUCAAAAGUCUCCUGUCAAAGAUCAGGUCUUAACCCUGGGCCGGCAGGGGAAACUCUGAGGCUAGAGUUUGGUAGGGGCAGAGGGAAUUCCCGGUGGAGCGGAGAAAGGCGUAGAGAUCGGGAGGAACACCAAAGGAGAAAGCACUCUGCUGGGCCACAACUGACACUGAGAGACGAAAGCGAGGGGAGCAAAAGGGAUUAGAUACCCGUGUAGUCC
rnacentral:rRNA from 1 species